GCGGACGUAGCUCAGUUGGUUAGAGCACCAGAUUGUGGUUCUGGGGGUCGCCGGUUCGAAACCGGUCGUCCGCCCCA
rnacentral:tRNA from 1 species